rnacentral:rRNA from 1 species
GAUGAACGCUGGCGGCGUGCCUAAUACAUGCAAGUCGAGCGAACAGACGAGGAGCUUGCUCCUCUGACGUUAGCGGCGGACGGGUGAGUAACACGUGGAUAACCUACCUAUAAGACUGGGAUAACUUCGGGAAACCGGAGCUAAUACCGGAUAAUAUAUUGAACCGCAUGGUUCAAUAGUGAAAGACGGUUUUGCUGUCACUUAUAGAUGGAUCCCCGCCGCAUUAGCUAGUUGGUAAGGUAACGGCUUACCAAGGCAACGAUGCGUAGCCGACCGGAGAGGGGGGUCGGCGACACUGGAACUGGGACAGGGUCCAGACGCCUACGGGAGGCAGCAGUAGGGAAUCGUCCGCAAUGGGCGAAAGCCUGACGGAGCAAGGCCGCGUGAGUGAUGAAGGUGUUCGGAUCGUAAAACUCUGUUAUGAGGGAAGAACAAAUGUGUAAGUAACUAUGCACGUCUUGACGGUACCUAAUCAGAAAGCCACGGCUAACUACGUG